UCUACCCUCUGUCUGGGAGGAAAUGGGUUCAGUCAGCCAGGAAGACACACCUCCCACUGCUCCACAUAAAGGGCUCAAUGUCUGGUUCAGUGGUUAAAAGCUGUUCACAGGGAUGACUGGACCCCACUAAGCAUUCUUUCGUCUGUAGUGAACGUUUCACCAAAAAAAGCUCUUGGAAAGGCUGGAUGGUCAGUAUUACAUGCUCAAACCAUGGCCGUGCCCUCCAUCUUCCACCUGAUUGAGAAGAGGGGGCUGAAGUCCGUGGCUGCCCCAGGAGAAAGGACACCAGGAAGGCCACCGGGGACCUAAGGAACAUGCGAGUGAAGCAGAUGGGAAAGGAGCUGCAGGUUCAUCGUUGUCCUUGAGGGAAAACCUGAGGGCCUAGCAGGGCUCCCGCAAGUUGAAGCGAGCCACUGUGCAGGGUGAACCUGCACCCAGGGCUGCCCAGGAAGCCGCCAGUCAGGAGCAGGUGCAGAGUCUCUGGAAGGAUCUCCAGGAUACAGUGUGGCCUCCACAGCAUCAGGCAGCCAGGGAGAUGCAAACAUGUCUGCUAUGGAUGCUGACAAUGAGACCCCCCUCUUCCCUGCCAGGGCCUCUUAGUUUGGUGGCAGCAGUGGGAUCCAAAGGAGACAUCUGAUGGCUUAGGGGAUGAGAAACACAGGCAUUGGUACCCGCAAAACCUUUGAGUUCUCCAUCUUUGUCACUGAUUCUGAGAGCCGUGGAGUCAGCUCCAGAGUUUCAGCCAGCAGCAGAAGCAGAGCUGUGGGCAGUGGUGGAGGUAGAGCUGGCUCCAGCUCCGUUGACACCACCCCCUCUAGCACUGGAGCCAGUGUCCCCUCUACCAGCAGUGUUGGAGCUGGAGCAAGGGCCAACAUGGGCUCCAGCAGGAGUGGGAGCUGCUGAGUUGGAGUCACCUGGACCAUCAUUUCUAGUGGGAAGUCCAUCUCCACCUGUGGCUAAGAAGUGUGAAAAGAAGCCCAACCUACGGCCUUCCCUCCUAAGCUGGUGGUGGAGCAGUUGACUGUGAUGGAUGCGGUGAGCAGCUGGGCUCUCAGGGCGGGGUGGGGUAGGCCUUCCCUCUGCCAUCGUUGCCCCAGACCUCAUCCAGUCUUCUAUGAUCUGGGCCCGAAUCCUGGCUCCACCCCUUACCAACCAUACGACCUGGGCAACUUUCUGAACCCCUAAGCAUUUGCUUUCCACCUGCAGAGUGUAGAGGUGGACACUAACAGGACCUGCUGCACAGAGUGGCUGUGCCGGCUCCUUGAAGAGAAGGAAGGGAGCUCUUCCGGAAGGUGGUGCCCUCUCAGUGCCUGGGCUCCACCUGGGGCAAGAGGAAUAAGCCCAGCAAUGAGCACCUGGCACACACUGUC